rnacentral:lncRNA from 1 species
CUCUCUUAUAGUUUUAGAAUCUGAAAAUGAACACACAAGAAAAUUUAAACGACGAUGAUGGUGACUUUUUUAGAA